AUGCAGGGUUCAACUUGAAUACCCCUUUUUUUCCUAAUUUUCGCCAAAUCCCGUUACCCAGUUUCCGUACGCACCUGCUACCCUCUACGGUGUUGGAGUUCCUUCAAGCUGAGCUCGAGCUUCAGAGGGAAGAGAGGAAUUGUUUGUAGUGUUACUGAGCCACAUUCAGAUCCUGAGGGUGACAAUGAGGAGGUACUUUCAGUUUGCUUUGGUACUAUAUCUGUUGGAGAAUUUGUGAGUUGGUUAAUUUGUUGUAACUGUCAGG